rnacentral:lncRNA from 1 species
GCCCAAACUGUGUGAGUGCGAUUUUCAAUCGCAAAAUUACUGAUAAAAACCUAUUCGCUCGAAGAGGUAGAGUGUGGAGAACUGUUGUGGAUAACAUCAAUCAACCCGGAACGAUUUACGAUCUCACUUAUUCAAAACUAAAGAAUCGGAGAAUCCAGUUAUUACUGUCAAUGAUUACUGGCUAUACAGAUAAAUCUAAAAGUAAACAUAGAGGACAAUGAUGCAUUAGAGACUGGCAUAUCAUCUCAUACGGACAACACUGCAGGAGAGUUUUUUUUUAUAUUUGAACAAUUCAGCUUCGCUUCAAAGAAAGUUGGAUGCAUUGGAAAAAAAA